GUCAAUGGGAGGCGUGAAGUCUGAGGCGAAGUGGGUUACUACCCAUCUUGCUCAUUACCCAUGAGAAUGGGGAGAGCGGGUGCUGUGAAGACUGAUUGUUUUGUGGCCCUUGUUAUUUCAACAGAGACCUACAGUGGAAUGUUUUUUAUCCGCACUGAGGCUGCUGCACAGGCCAGCUCCUCUCACAUUGGACUAUGGUCCUGCUCAUUAUUGAGGGGGCUUAGGAGGCAGCGGCCCAAAACAGCGAGAGCAGACAGCCUUCACCACUUCAGCGCCUCAUUCUCUUUUUCUUUUUCAAACAGUGGGGAUGUUUGUUCCCAGGUGAAGCUUUUCCUUUCCUCCCACCUUCCUGUCAGCAACACAGCUACAACCCAUGAAAUGGAUUUGAAAACAAUCCCCUGAAAAAAAAAUGGACUUCAUUUGAGGAACCCACACCAAAAAGAACUGCGGUCUCAGCUGGCAAACGCAUUUGGAACAGAAGCCGACGAGAAGAGGUCCUCUGCGCCAACAUUGAGGUGAAAAUCUUCCUGAAGUUAUCCAUGCCAGGAAAAUUCAACAACAAACUCUGAGUGAACCUCUAUUCCCAGAAUCAUAUGCAGCCUGCAAGCACACGAUUCAAAUUCAAAACACACACAGUGUCUCGGAAGGCCUGGAUCAGAAUAUCUUUUGAACCAAUAUGACUGAUGAUGCAAGGACUGAUGUUUUCAGAAUGAGCAUAGCCAACCAAACCAGACUGUAGGCUAUGCAGCUGAUAAAGUUAAUGAAUUUUCUCCUUUAAUGCUCAUGAAUAUGUAGUAGUAGUAGUAGACUGCAACUAACCAUUAUUUUAAUUUUUGAUAUGUUGGUUAUUUUCUCGAUUAAUCAUUAAGUUGUUUGGUCCAUAAAAAGCCAGUUCAAUUUACUGUCAUACAGGAGUAAAGAAACAAG